rnacentral:lncRNA from 1 species
AAGCCACUCAUGACAUCUGUAGAGUCUGGCUGGGAGGAGUGUGACAUACUGAGAAGGCACAGGCUCUGGAGUCAGGGGACCUGAGAUCAGAUCCUGACUGCUUGGCACAAAUCCUGUGUGACUCUGGACCUCAGUUUUACUUAUCUGUGAUAAGUAAAUGAUUAUCUCUGCACGGACAGCACUCAAGUGUUGCUUUGAGCUUCAGAGAGCCUAGUCUGAUGCUGUGGUCAAGGGGGAGGUGCCUCUUGGCCCUGGGCUUGAGUUUUCCAAAGAGGUUUCAGAGAAUCAGCUGACAUUGCCUGAAGAGCAUGAAGGGGAUAAACUUGACCGGCUGCUCUUCUCUCCACAGGCCCAUAGAGCUGGACAGAAAAGCAUCCCAAGAAAGUCUGCCCUGGCAUCAGAAGUGCAGUUGAAGACAUCUUCCUUGAAGCCCAUACUGUCAGGUGAGUCAAUCAGAGGCUCUCAUGCCUUGGGGUGGGCCCUGGUCCACCUCUCAAGUGAAGGACCAGGGGUCUUUAGGCAUCUCAGUAAACUGAGUUUGAUUAGUCAUCUUUUUUAACUCACUGACAUACCUGCAUGCCCAGGAAUCCUGAUAGGCCUUCAUCUCCAUAUUAUUUCUGAUUUUAGCCAUUCCUGGCUUCCUAAUCAGGGGUCCAGAGCUGAGUUUCAGAUUCUCAGGAAACACUCCAGAAUUGCAUGCUUGCAUUUUGUAGGUUUUCUGGAGAUGAGAGGCCAUAGGUUUCAUCAGAGUCUCAGAGAUAUCCACGAUCCAGAAAUUCAAGAACUCCUUGUCCACCAUCAAUGGUAGAGACCUUCCAGGCUGUCAAGGUCUCUGCCAUCCUGGUUUAUAGCCAGCCUGGCCCAGCCCCAGAGAGAACAAGUGAAGAAUCCAGCUUAUCCAUUCUUCCUCCAUUUUUUUUUUUAACUUUUGUUUUCAUUUUGAAGGUCUGAUGCUCAUUAUUCUAAACUGUUAAAAGGGGUGAGAACCUUCCCACACAGAAGAAAAUGGAAUUGGUAUGCAAAGUAGACCCAGUCUUGAAUAAUUAAUUCUGAUUUGCAUGUUCAGAUGAGCCUGAGAGCUGCCCUGGCAGUCAGGAGGAAAUUCAGAUGCAGGAAAGUAGAGGGUGGCUCCCCAGUGAGGGAGAUUCAACUUCCCUGGGACUUCCACUGCCUUUCUCAAGUCAACUCUGUGGUCUAAUGGAGCUUUAAAACACCCUAGGUGACUCAGACUUGAGGCCCAGAGAGGGAAUUGUCUUGCCCAACUCACACUGCAGGCUAGUGACAGGAAGAACCACAUAGUAGAUAAUAAUAUAGAUUCCGGGUCUCUUGGACCACCCAGAUGCUCAUCCCAUUACUGUUAUGUGGCCUUGGGAAAUUACUUAAUACGUAAUACUUAAAACCUCUCUAAGCC